rnacentral:rRNA from 1 species
GAUGAACGCUGGCGGCGUGUUUAACACAUGCAAGUCGAGCGAGAAGUUUUGAAAAGAUUCUUCGGAUGAAAUUUAAAAUGGAAAGCGGCGGACGGGUGAGUAACGCGUAGGCAACCUGCCCCAUACAAAGGGAUAGCAUUUGGAAACGAAUAUUAAUACCUUAUGAAACUUAACUAGUGCAUGCUAGGUAGGUCAAAGAUUUAUCGGUAUGGGAUGGGCCUGCGUCUGAUUAGCUAGUUGGUGAGGUAACGGCUCACCAAGGCGACGAUCAGUAGCCGACCUGAGAGGGUGAACGGCCACAUUGGAACUGAGACACGGUCCAAACUCCUACGGGAGGCAGCAGUGGGGAAUAUUGCACAAUGGGGGAAACCCUGAUGCAGCAACGCCGCGUGAACGAUGAAGGCCUUUGGGUCGUAAAGUUCUGUUCUAGGUGAUGAAAACUGACAGUAACCUAGGAGAAAGCCCCGGCUAACUCCGUG